rnacentral:lncRNA from 1 species
AUGUCUCGCACCUCUGUGAUGGGGGCACGGCUGUAUUUCUGCCCUGUGUUAUCGACGGGCUCCAUGGAGGCUGAGACUCGGAACACCAGGAACAUCGGACGGGCCGUCAAAACGCCUGAACGCAGAGUCUGGGCAUCCGUUCGUCAUGGCAACGGGAAAACAUCCAUCAAUGCCAUUUUGUUCGGUUUUCAAAGCAAACGGAGAGCACAGAAUAACCCUUCCUCCCCUGCCAGUCUGUCGCCCUUCCUCUCUGUGGCAACAUGCACAGAAUUAUUUCAAAGCUACAUUAAAAGAGUACUGCACUAUUUUAUGAAGUUUUAGCCAUGAAAAUAUAUUUUACAGUGCCUGGGCAUUUGGUAACGGUGAGGAACUGCAACAUUUUAGAGGGCAUGCAACAGGAUUACAUGUUAGACGGCUGGAAUUAAAGGAGAAAUUCAGUGUUUUAUUGCUUGAUGUUAGGUGGUUGCUAACGCUUCAAGUAUCAUAUUUCCCUAGAGAAUCUGUAAUCUAUUUUUACAUGUAUUACCAUGGACUUCGUCCAUGUGGCAAGGCAGCGUGUGCAGCUAAUUGUUUAAACGUUUAUAUCACAUAGCUGGAGGUUUUUUGAGCUGGAGGUUUUAAAAAUAAUGAAUGAAAAUACUCACAAUUAUUUCCGUUCACUUCUUAGCCUGCUCUAUCUUGUAGUAAUGACUGUUGAAAGAUAACUAAAGCACAUGGAUCAGUUUCUCGUGGCCCAUAGGCUACUUUCCGGGUGAGGAACUACCCAUCGUGAAGUUGUAAAAUCGUGAAAUUCCCCUUUAAUGCCACUGAAGUAAUGCCAUAAAUAGCUAGUUGCCUAACGUGUUAUCUCAGUGCAUGGACCCUAAAAUGUUGCGGUGCCGGGCUAUUACCGAAAGGGCCCGGUGUUGUAAAAUUCAUGACCUCGGCUCUUGGCGUUGGUCUGUCUUCAUUAUUAGUGAAUGACGUGAGUACUGUGCCAGCGUGGGAUGCCGGCAACGCAACACCGUGUGAGGCUGGAGGACUCUACCACAGAAUGGUGAUGAGAUGGAAUGGGUGGGGCCUGGGGGCUGUUGCACACUAUUGGUCACAGUUGUUUGCUGUGAGGCAGCGUUAGGGAGGAGUGUUGUGCGGGCGAGGGGGUGGGGUGGGGGCGGGGUUGGUGAAUAUUUUCUUCCUUUCCAUUUCUG